UACGCCGCUCGAGCCCCCUCGGCUCGGUGUUGGGGCGCUAGGGGCCGCGGCCCCUAGGCUCCCAAAUGCAUUGCGCGGCCCCAGGACCAGGACCCGAGCACAGUAAACUCGCCGUUGAGCUGCUCCGGGAUACUGCGCCGAGGCGCCAGCCGUAAAACCCCCGACACAGGCCCCCACGGGCCGACUGA
rnacentral:misc_RNA from 1 species